rnacentral:rRNA from 1 species
CCUACGGGAGGCAGCAGUGAGGAAUAUUGGUCAAUGGACGAGAGUCUGAACCAGCCAAGUAGCGUGAAGGAUGACUGCCCUAUGGGUUGUAAACUUCUUUUAUAAAGGAAUAAAACGAGGCACGUGUGCCUUUUUGCAUGUACUUUAUGAAUAAGGAUCGGCUAACUCCGUGCCAGCAGCCGCGGUAAUACGGAGGAUCCGAGCGUUAUCCGGAUUUAUUGGGUUUAAAGGGAGCGUAGGUGGGUUGUUAAGUCAGUUGUGAAAGUUUGCGGCUCAACCGUAAAAUUGCAAUUGAUACUGGCAGUCGUGAGUACAGUUGAGGUAGGCGGAAUUCGUGGUGUAGCGGUGAAAUGCUUAGAUAUCACGAAGAACCCCGAUUGCGAAGGCAGCUUACUAAACUGUGACUGACACUGAUGCUCGAAAGUGUGGGUAUCAAACAGGAUUAGAUACCCGGGUAGUC